rnacentral:rRNA from 7 species
AAAAUUAGAGUGUUCAAAGCAGGCAGAUCCAAUUUUCUGCCACCGAAUACAUUAGCAUGGGAUAAUGGAAUAGGACCCUGUCCUCCUAUUUUCAGUUGGUUUUGGCAGCGCGAGGACUAGGGUAAUGAUUAAUAGGGAUAGUUGGGGGCAUUAAUAUUUAAUUGUCAGAGGUGAAAUUCUUGGAUUUAUGAAAGAUUAACUUCUGCGAAAGCAUCUGCCAAGGAUGUUUUCAUUAAUCAAGAACGAAAGUUAGGGGAUCGAAGACGAUCAGAUACCGUCGUAGUCUUAACCAUAAACGAUGCCGACCAGCGAUUAGGAGACGUUGAAUACAAAACACCACCAUCGGUGCGGUCGUCCUUGGCGGUUGGUCUUCAAAAGCCAGCGGCGGGGGUGGCUUAGCCCGGUGGCACCGGUGAA